GACAAAUCUACAGUGACAAAGUAAAUUAGUGGUUGCCAAGGACUGGGGUUGGAAUGGGGAGUGACUGCUAAUGGGCAUAGAAUAUUAUUUUGGGGUGAUAAAAAUGUUCUAAACUUGAUUAUAGAAAUGAGACAGGAUAGUUCCCUUGACCCACUUCGUGGGUGGGAAUGGAAGUGGCUCAUUUCACUUAGCCUGCCACUGGCCACUCCUCAUGAGACAGAGUGUGCCAGCAAGGGAGUGUGGGAACUGGAGAGAAUGAACCCUGGACCUGGCCACUCUUCUCUGGCGGAAGCAGGUUCCGUGCGGGCCCUACAGCAGCAUCCAAGCCCCUGUCCUCUCGGCACCUGAGUUCUUGUUUGGCAUCCAGGAAGAAUUAGGUCACCCACACGGAUUGAAAGGUAGUGUAUGUAGAAGAUUUUACUGGGUAAUGGCUCUCAGCAGGAUGGGAGUUGGAAAGGGGAUGGUGCGGAAAGAAAGUGAUUUUUCCCUGAAGCCACACCAUCUGAAGUUAGCGGCGUCUAUCUGUAGUCUCUGACACUCAGUUGCUGCUUCUCUGCUUGCUGCGCAUAUACCCGGCGCUCAGCCGCUUGUGUUGCUCUGCCAGCUGAAGUCUUUUUUAUAUGGGCACAGGAUAGGAGCAUGGCAGGCCAAAAAGCAACAUUUGAGGGCAAAAAUGGGGUGAGCUGUUUUCACACAGGGCUGUGGUUCCAGGUUUAAGGGUGGGGUUUAGCCAGGAGCCAAGCCGUUCUGUAUCAUUUCCCCCCUCUGAAGAGGCACAUCUAACUGCCAUUAGGAUAUGGACAACGACCAGUCUUUCCGUUGUUUAACGAAAGCGGCAGUUGGAUUCCUCCCAGAAGUCUACCCAAGGAUCCCCAGCGAAAGGGAGCCAUAGUCCGAGGCUCUGGCUGCCUGCCUGUUUGGAGCUUUGAUGGCCUCGAGGCCCCCAGAUGAGACAGGAUUGUUCCCUUCAUCUUAACCCCCUUCGUGGGCGGGAACUGGAGCAGCUCAUUUCACUCAGCUCGCCUCCUGCCACUCCUGGCGGCAGAGCGUGCGAGUGCGGGAACCGGAGCGACCGAAUGCUGGAACCGGCCGGUCACUCCUCUCUGGCGGGAAUAGGCUCUGUGCGGGCCUCACAGCAGCGUCCAAGCCCUGGCCUCUCGGCACCGGGGUACCUGUCCGGCGUCCAGGAAGAAUUAGGUCAUAUGAACGGAUUGAAGAGUAGUGUAUGCGGAAGAUUUGAUUGAGUGGUGGCUCCUGGUGGGAUGGGUACUGGAAAGCAGACGGUGAAAGAGGGUCAUCUUUCCCUGAAGCCGCACCAUCUGAAGUUAGCUGCGUCUAUCUGUAGUCUUCAACACUCUUGCUGCUUCUCUGCUCACCGCUCAGCCGCUUGUGUUGCUCUGCCAGCUGAAGUCUUUUUUAUGGCCACAGGAUAGGGGCGUGGCAGGCCAAAAAAACAACAUUUGGGCAGAAAAACAGGGUCAGCUGUUUUCAAGGCCGUGAUUCCAGGCUUAAGGGUGGGGUUUAGCUGGGAACCCAGCCAUUCUGUAUCAGUGAUAGUUGCACAACUAUAAAUAUACUAACAACCAUUGAAUUGUGUACUUUAAGUAGAUUAACCGUAUGAUAUAUGAAUUACAUCUCAGUAAAGUUGUUUUUUAAAAAAUAUGCAUAUACCUUAGUCUAGCCGUUCCAGGUCAUAUACUACAGCGAUAGUAACAAAGAUAUAAUAUGUGGUUUAUAAUAAUAAAUAUUGGAAAUACUUAAUCUUGCAAAUGCAUGAUCAGUAAGGUAGUGGAGGCAAAAACUAGGUUUCCCAGGAGCUUCAGGCUUCUCAACUUCCAAGUAGUAAUCUCAAGGAAGUACGUACUCUGACUGAAACUGUUUAUGUCACAGACCUACUCCUUAGACCAAUCACUGUUCCCAUAGAGAUAGCUCAUUAUGAUUUGUGGAGUCAGAAUCAUGUGCCCACUGCUGAAAUCAGGAAUUCAGGGUCCUGGGAGAGUCACCCGUGCCACCCACCUAAUGUUUUCUGGAAGUUUGACUUUAAAAGGAAGAAGACAGCAAGAGAUCAAUAUAGCUAGAGUGUGGAGAUGAGGUGUUUUCUUUAAAAUAGAGGUGACUUGAACACGUUUAAAUGCUUGUGCAAAGUAGCCAAUAUAGAGGGAGCAGUUAAAGACACAAAAGAAAUAGAAUAUUUCUAAUCAAUAGAUCUCAGGAAAUUAUUAUUUCCCACUAUCCCUCAGAAAAUUAUAUUCAAUAAAGGAAUUUGUUUCUGGCUCCUUGGAGGAUUAACUUUCCUUUUCAUGCUUAGGCAAUACAAAGUUGAAUCACCACUUUAAACCACAUUACACAGACUAGAAGGUGAAACUCCAAUGCCCAGGCCAUUAUGUUAAUCAAUACUUCAACCUUCUUUUUUUUUUUGAGACAGAGUCUACGCUCUCGUUGCCCAGGCUGGAGUGCAAUGGCGCAACCUCAGCUCACUGCAACCUCUGCCUCCUGGGUUCAAGCAAUUGUCCUGCCCCAGCCUCUCACGUAGCUGGGAUUACAGGCAUGCGCCACCACACCCAGCUAAUUUUGUAUUUUUAAUAGAGACGGGGUUUCACCAUGUUGGCGAGGCUGGUCUUGAACUCUUGACUUCAGGUGAUCCACCAGCCUCAGCCUCUCAAAGUGCUGGGAUUACAGGCGUCAGCCACCGCACUCAGCCUCAACCUUCAAUAAAAAUAGGAUUCCCUCCACUCACUCCUUUACCCAGUUAGGGUGUAAUUGUGGCAGGCCAUCUAUCUGUCUUUGCAAAAGGGAACAUGGUAAUCUUUGUUUUGUUUGUUCACCUCUUCUCACAUUCUCAGCUGCUGUAGCUGACCCCUCUUAGUUGGAACACGAGGAGGGAGGAGAAGAAAGGGAAGCAGAA
rnacentral:lncRNA from 1 species